GAACGGGGUAAGAACUAACCGGAUUCCCUUAGUAACUGCGAGUGAAGGGGGAUCAGCCCAGCACCGAAGCCUGUGGCCGUUUGGCUGCUAGGCAAUGUGGUGUUUAGGUCGUCUCUUGGCAUAACUGCUCCAUCCUAAGUCCAGUACUGAGUAUGGCAUUGGAGUGGCCCAUGGAGGGUGAAAGGCCCGUGGGGGUGGAGAUCAAGUCGGCCAGUUUUGCCCUGAGUAGACCUUGGAGUCGGGUUGUUUGUGAAUGCAGCCCAAAGUGGGUGGUAAACUCCAUCCAAGGCUAAAUACUAGCACGAGUCCGAUAGCGAACAAGUACCGUGAGGGAAAGUUGAAAAGUACUCUGAAAGAGAGACAAACGUUUUAUUA
rnacentral:rRNA from 1 species